GGGCAGUGAAGCGAUGGGUCAUCCAUCUCUUCACCUCCCUGUUGGACUUGCCGGGCGUCAGCCCGGCUUUUUUU
rnacentral:ncRNA from 1 species